UAAUACGUAGGGGGCUAGCGUUGUCCGGAUUUAUUGGGCGUAAAGAGCGCGUAGGCGGCUAGGUAAGUCCGACGUGAAAUCUGGAGGCUCAACCUCCAGCGGUCGUUGGAAACUACUUGGCUAGAGUCCGGAAGAGGAGAGUGGAAUUCCUGGUGUAGCGGUGAAAUGCGCAGAUAUCAGGAAGAACACCGAUGGCGAAAGCAGCUCUCUGGGACGGUACUGACGCUGAGGCGCGAAAGCGUGGGGAGCGAACAGGAUUAGAUACCCUGGUAGUCCACGCCGUAAACGAUGGGUGCUAGGUGUGAGCGGUGUCGACUCCGCUCGUGCCGAAGCUAACGCAUUAAGCACCCCGCCUGGGGAGUACGGCCGCAAGGCUA
rnacentral:rRNA from 1 species